CCUUUCAAUAUCUGAACCCCUGAAUCCAAGACUCACCACCAAGAACAGUGCCCCCCACAGCAGGA
rnacentral:lncRNA from 1 species